rnacentral:pre_miRNA from 14 species
UGGAGGGAACACGAGGACAGCAAGAAAAAUGAGGGACUUUCAGGGGCAGCUGUGUUUCCUGACUCAGUCAUAAUGCCCCUAAAAAUCCUUAUUGUUCUUGCAGUGUGCAUCAGGCGGCACCA